rnacentral:rRNA from 1 species
UUAAAAUGUUAAUUUUAAAACUAAAGUAGUAAUAGUUAUGUUCUUUAAAUUUAAAGAUUUUGGCGGUAUUUUAGUCUAUUCAGAGGAACCUGUUCUGUAAUUGAUAGUCCACGAUUAACUUUACUUGAAUUUAAAAGUUUGUAUAUCGUUGUUUAUAGAAAAUUUUUUAAGAAGAAAAAUUUUUAAUAAAUUUAAUAAAAUUGUAAAUCAAAUCAAGGUGCAGUUUAUAUUUAAGUAGAAAUGGGUUACAAUAAAAUUAUUUAAAUGAAUUUAAAUUUUAAAAAAUUUAAUGAAGGAGGAUUUGAUAGUAAUUUUAUUUAAUUAAAUAAAAUGAUUUUAGCUCUAGAAUAUGU